GACGAACGCUGGCGGCGUGCUUAACACAUGCAAGUCGUACGGUAAGGCCCUUUCGGGGGUACACGAGUGGCGAACGGGUGAGUAACACGUGAGUAACCUGCCCACAACUUUGGGAUAACGCUAGGAAACUGGUGCUAAUACUGGAUAUGUGCUCCUGCUGCAUGGUGGGGGUUGGAAAGCUCCGGCGGUUGUGGAUGGACUCGCGGCCUAUCAGCUUGUUGGUGGGGUAGUGGCCUACCAAGGCGGCGACGGGUAGCCGGCCUGAGAGGGUGACCGGCCACAGUGGGACUGGGAUACGGCCCAGACUCCUACGGGAGGCAGCAGUGGGGAAGAUUGCACAAUGGGCGCAAGCCUGAUGCAGCAACGCCGCGUGCGGGAUGACGGCCUUCGGGUUGUAAACCGAUUUCAGCAGGGACGAAGCUUUUUGUGACGGUACCUGCAGAAGAAGCACCGGCUAACUACGUG
rnacentral:rRNA from 1 species